rnacentral:rRNA from 1 species
AAUGGGUCAGCGACUUAUAUUCUGUAGCAAGGUUAACCGAAUAGGGGAGCCGAAGGGAAACCGAGUCUUAACUGGGCGUUAAGUUGCAGGGUAUAGACCCGAAACCCGGUGAUCUAGCCAUGGGCAGGUUGAAGGUUGGGUAACACUAACUGGAGGACCGAACCGACUAAUGUUGAAAAAUUAGCGGAUGACUUGUGGCUGGGGGUGAAAGGCCAAUCAAACCGGGAGAUAGCUGGUUCUCCCCGAAAGCUAUUUAGGUAGCGCCUCGUGAAUUCAUCUCCGGGGGUAGAGCACUGUUUCGGCAAGGGGGUCAUCCCGACUUACCAACCCGAUGCAAACUGCGAAUACCGGAGAAUGUUAUCACGGGAGACACACGGCGGGUGCUAACGUCCGUCGUGAAGAGGGAAACAACCCAGACCGCCAGCUAAGGUCCCAAAGUCAUGGUUAAGUGGGAAACGAUGUGGGAAGGCCCAGACAGCCAGGAUGUUGGCUUAGAAGCAGCCAUCAUUUAAAGAAAGCGUAAUAGCUCACUGGUCGAGUCGGCCUGCGCGGAAGAUGUAACGGGGCUAAACCAUGCACCGAAGCUGCGGCAGCGACGCUUAUGCGUUGUUGGGUAGGGGAGCGUUCUGUAAGCCUGCGAAGGUGUGCUGUGAGGCAUGCUGGAGGUAUCAGAAGUGCGAAUGCUGACAUAAGUAACGAUAAAGCGGGUGAAAAGCCCGCUCGCCGGAAGACCAAGGGUUCCUGUCCAACGUUAAUCGGGGCAGGGUGAGUCGACCCCUAAGGCGAGGCCGAAAGGCGUAGUCGAUGGGAAACAGGUUAAUAUUCCUGUACUUGGUGUUACUGCGAAGGGGGGACGGAGAAGGCUAUGUUGGCCGGGCGACGGUUGUCCCGGUUUAAGCGUGUAGGCUGGUUUUCCAGGCAAAUCCGGAAAAUCAAGGCUGAGGCGUGAUGACGAGGCACUACGGUGCUGAAGCAACAAAUGCCCUGCUUCCAGGAAAAGCCUCUAAGCAUCAGGUAACAUCAAAUCGUACCCCAAACCGACACAGGUGGUCAGGUAGAGAAUACCAAGGCGCUUGAGAGAACUCGGGUGAAGGAACUAGGCAAAAUGGUGCCGUAACUUCGGGAGAAGGCACGCUGAUAUGUAGGUGAAGCGACUUGCUCGUGGAGCUGAAAUCAGUCGAAGAUACCAGCUGGCUGCAACUGUUUAUUAAAAACACAGCACUGUGCAAACACGAAAGUGGACGUAUACGGUGUGACGCCUGCCCGGUGC